UGGUAUCUUGUGUCAUGGAUCCAACUUCAAGUAUCAAUGUUUAAUUGCCUUGCAUUCCAAGCUUACUUCAACAUAUCUGAACUUCAAAUUUGGACUUAUAGCAAUCAUUUGAUGGGCCUAUGUGCGCCCAUGCAGCUACUUACAUCACUUUGCCAAUUUUGGAAACUUGAAUGGAGUGUGCAAUUAACACUUGAAUUCUCUAUAAAUUAAAGCUCAAUU
rnacentral:lncRNA from 1 species